AGGACGAACGCUGGCGGCGUGCCUAAUACAUGCAAGUCGAGCGGACCGACGGGAGCUUGCUCCCUUAGGUCAGCGGCGGACGGGUGAGUAACACGUGGGUAACCUGCCUGUAAGACUGGGAUAACUCCGGGAAACCGGGGCUAAUACCGGAUGCUUGAUUGAACCGCAUGGUUCAAUCAUAAAAGGUGGCCUUUAGCUACCACUUACAGAUGGACCCGCGGCGCAUUAGCUAGUUGGUGAGGUAACGGCUCACCAAGGCGACGAUGCGUAGCCGACCUGAGAGGGUGAUCGGCCACACUGGGACUGAGACACGGCCCAGACUCCUACGGGAGGCAGCAGUAGGGAAUCUUCCGCAAUGGACGAAAGUCUGACGGAGCAACGCCGCGUGAGUGAUGAAGGUUUUCGGAUCGUAAAACUCUGUUGUUAGGGAAGAACAAGUACCGUUCGAAUAGGGCGGCACCUUGACGGUACCUAACCAGAAAGCCACGGCUAACUACGUGCCAGCAGCCGCGGUAAUACGUAGGUGGCAAGCGUUGUCCGGAAUUAUUGGGCGUAAAGCGCGCGCAGGCGGUUUCUUAAGUCUGAUGUGAAAGCCCCCGGCUCAACCGGGGAGGGUCAUUGGAAACUGGGGAACUUGAGUGCAGAAGAGGAGAGUGGAAUUCCACGUGUAGCGGUGAAAUGCGUAGAGAUGUGGAGGAACACCAGUGGCGAAGGCGACUCUCUGGUCUGUAACUGACGC
rnacentral:rRNA from 1 species